rnacentral:rRNA from 1 species
GGGGGAGUAUCGUUGCAAGGCUCAAACUUAAAGGAAUUGACGGAAGGGCACCACCAGGAGUGGACCCUGCAGAUUAAUUUGACUGAGUUGUUUCUUGAUUCUAUGGGUGGUGGUGCAUGGCCGUUCUUAGUUGGGGGAGCGAUUUGUCUGGUUAAUUUCAUUAACGAACGAGACCUCAGCCUGCUAAUUAGCUAUGCGGAGGUAUCCCUUCGCAACCAGCUUCCUAGAGGGACUAUGGCCUUUUAGGCCCCGGAAGUUUGAGGCAAUAACAGGUCAGUGAUGACCUUAGAUGUUCUGGGCUGCACGCACGCUACACUGAUGUAUUCAACGAGCUUAUAGCCUUGUCCGAAAGGCCCGGGUAAUCUUUGAACUUUCAUCGUGAUGGGGACAGAUCAUUGCAAUUGUUGGUAUUCAACGAGGAAUUCCUAGUAAGUGUGGGUCAUCAUCUCGCGUUGACUACGUCCCUGCCCUAUAUACACACUGCCCAUUGCAACUACUGAUUAAAUGAUCCGAUCAGAUGUUUGGAUCGCGGCAACGUGGGCGGUUUGCUGCCCGCAACUUCGCGAGAAGUCCAUAGAACCUUAUCAUUUAGAGGAAGGAGAAGUCGUAACAAGAUUUCCGUAGGUGAACCUGCGGAAG